UACGUAGGGAGCAAGCGUUGUCCGGAUUUACUGGGUGUAAAGGGUGCGUAGGCGGCAGUGCAAGUCAGGUGUGAAAUGUAUGGGCUUAACCCAUAGACUGCAUUUGAAACUGUGCUGCUUGAGUGAAGUAGAGGCAGGCGGAAUUCCCGGUGUAGCGGUGAAAUGCGUAGAGAUCGGGAGGAACACCAGUGGCGAAGGUGGCCUGCUGGGCUUUAAAUGACGAUGAGGCACGAAAGCAUGGGUAGCAAACAGG
rnacentral:rRNA from 1 species